rnacentral:rRNA from 1 species
AGUCAUAUGCUUGUCUCAAAGAUUAAGCCAUGCAUGUCUAAGUAUAAGCAACUUUAUACUGUGAAACUGCGAAUGGCUCAUUAAAUCAGUUAUGGUUUAUUUGAUGGUACCUUACUACUUGGAUAACCGUAGUAAUUCUAGAGCUAAUACAUGCGGGAAAUCUCAGCGCAAGCUGUGAUGUAUUUGUUAGAUAAGAAACCAACCCUCUUUGAGGUUUGCGUGCCGAGUCAUAAUAACUUGUCGAAUCGCAUGGCUUUACGCCGGCGAUGGUUCAUUCAAAUUUCUGCCCUAUCAGCUUUCGAUGGUAGGAUAGAGGCCUACCAUGGCGUUAACGGGUGAC